rnacentral:rRNA from 1 species
GAUGAACGCUAGCUACAGGCUUAACACAUGCAAGUCGAGGGGAAACGACAUUGAAGCUUGCUUCGAUGGUCGUCGACCGGCGCACGGGUGAGUAACGCGUAUCCAACCUGCCUCUGACCAAGGGAUAACCCGUCGAAAGUCGGCCUAAUACCUUAUGCAGUCGUCGGAAGUCAUCUGAUGACGACGAAAGAUUUCAUCGGUGAGAGAUGGGGAUGCGUCUGAUUAGCUUGUUGGCGGGGUAACGGCCCACCAAGGCAACGAUCAGUAGGGGUUCUGAGAGGAAGGUCCCCCACAUUGGAACUGAGACACGGUCCAAACUCCUACGGGAGGCAGCAGUGAGGAAUAUUGGUCAAUGGGCGAGAGCCUGAACCAGCCAAGUAGCGUGCAGGAUGACGGCCCUAUGGGUUGUAAACUGCUUUUAGGCGGGGAUAAAGUGAGGGACGUGUCCUUCAUUGCAGGUACCGCAUGAAUAAGGACCGGCUAAUUCCGUG